CUACGGGAGGCAGCAGUUACGAAACCUUUACAAUGCACGAAAGUGUGAUAAGGGAAUCCCAAGUGCUUAUCUUUUAGAUAGGCUUUUGUUAAGUUUAAAUCACUUAACGAGUAAGUGGUGGGUAAGACGGGUGCCAGCCGCCGCGGUAACACCUGCGCCACAAGUGGCAACCACGUUUAUUGGGUCUAAAGCGUCCGUAGCUGGAUUAGAAAAUCUAUUGUGAAAUUGUUGAGCUUAACUUAACAUUGUGCAAUAGACACUUCUGAUCUAGAGACCGGAGAGGAGGUAGAAGUAUUUUAGGGGUAACGGUAAAAUGUUUUGAUCCCUGAAAGACUGCCAAUGGCGAAGGCAUUUACCUAUAACGGGUCUGACAGUGAGGGACGAAGGCUAGGGGAGCAAAACGGAUUAGAUACCCUCGUAGUC
rnacentral:rRNA from 1 species